UGAACUAUUAGUAACCAUUGCCAGAAUUUUAAAAUCUGCUAUGAAUUUAAACACAUGAACUAUAUAUAGAUGACCUUACAGGUAAGUUUCUCUAAGGAAAGUUCUCUUUCUUUUCUCUUUUCACAUGCAAGCGCACUUUCCCCCUUGCCAGGGUCUGGAGUGUCCCGGGCCCAGGUGGGGCCCAUGGGUGCCUUGGGUUCUGUCACCCCGGGGUCUGGUCCUUUCGCAGCACACAGGGGUUGAUGAAGGCAGAGCUGCGAGCCAAAGAGCGUGCAGGCAGUGGAGGCAACCAGAAGUGGUCCGAAUAGAAACAGGGAUUUAAGGGACAUUUUUCUUCUUGGUGGCUUAAAGUACUUUGCAAACAUUUGGUUCUGUAAAUUUCAUGUUUAUAUUCAUGUUUUUCUCUUUCUGCUUUGUUACACUAUUAGCAAGGAAAAGGCCAAAUUAUCUCCAUUGCUGGAGAGGAAUAAGGCCAGGAAGACAGCUGAGUCUUCAGCAGACCUCCGGCCACUGCGUCAAGGCCUGCAUGCUGUGACCUGGCUACCAGCAGCACUGUACACUGGUAUGAAAUACACUGUGAAUGAAAUACACUGUGCCUGUGAAAACACUGUGAAUGGAAUACACUGUGCCUUGAUUUGAGCUCACUAGAGAGAAAGUCAGUGUGCAUUUCAUGGUUUUCUUGUAUUAGUAAGUGCUAUCAUUCUGUGCUAGGUACUGUUCUGAGCACGUUACAUACAUUAGUUCAUUUACUUUUGAAAAAACCCAUGAGAUAAGAUUGUUCUUUAAGUCCCCAUUGCAUAGAAGAGUAAAACUGAGGCAAGAAGAAAUAAAGUAACUUAUCCACAACCAGGGAGCCAGCAACCGCAGGGCUGAAAAUUGCCCCCAGCAGUUUGAUUUACACCCUCACACCACUACACUGAUUGAUUUGUGAUAAUGUUUUGCUUUGACUUUUUUAAAAAUGUAAAGUGAAAAAAUAAAAACAAACAGGCCGUAUCUACUGCAUUCAUGAAGUAAUAAGAUAAACAUUAGCACACCAGGAAGGUCAUUUCCAAUUUUCCUUUGGAGACUGGUCUUUGCUCAUUUUUCCUGUGUAAAUAGCUCAGGGGCAUGUUUCCCCAGGGCUGUGUAUUCUUCUUAUCUUUUUCCAAAGGGAGAUAAGGCUUAGAUUUAUUUAAAACUUACCUCAGGAUUCACUACCAGGCACAAGUUUUUCCUACUGACAGGAGACGUCUCUGACUGACUUAACCAGCUGCUGGCCCUUGCAGUUCCCUUCCGGCCUGCUCCCUUCCCUUCUCAGCAGCCAGGUCAGUUCUGAGCAUGGCCUUCUUCCUGAGUUCUCACACAGUGGACCCAGGACAAGUGCUUGGAACUGGGGGCUGCUGAGCCACGCCAAAUCUGCAGGAUUUUAGGACUUGAUGGGAGGCUUCCCCCUGACUUAGAAACCAGUGUUCCCUUGUCUUUUGGCUUCUAGUUGUCUAAAAAAAUCUAGCAACUGUAAAAUACAGACUCUAAAUAAACAUCAUCUCUAUCUGCUGAGCUGGAAGUUUGUUAUCACUGAAAGCCCUGAGAGGUUCGCCAUCACUGAGGGCUGCAGCUAAGUGGCCUAUCUUCUCCCAACACUGACGACUUUUACCAACUCUGCAACUCUGAACACAGCAAGGAGAACUCCGAGCUUCGAGUGAGUCUCCUCUAGACUUCACUUUCUCCAAAGAGAGGACUGGAUAUUAGAAAUUCAUACAUCUGAGGGGCUUACCAUUCCAAAGCCCGCAAGAUAGCCAACCGGCUAGUGACAGUGCGGCUUCAGAGGACCAAAGGUCUCCAACCGGAGUGUUUAUAAUUUGGAGGCUACUGAAACGAAGUUGGCAACUCUCACAACUUAGUCCUCUCAGCACUCAUUCGCUCAUGCAGCUACCCAACAAGACCUUGCAUCUGGCCUUGGACACAGCACACAGCACCUGACUGCCACGACCAGCUUCAAAGCUAUUCGAUUGCAUAACUAGAAAUAAGGAGAAAACAAGCAAACUGUCCCAAAUUGCAAGUGGUAGAAUGAUUCUGAUGUUUGUAAAAGCAAAACAAAUUGAUUCAAAAAUGAACUCAGCUGUGAUAAGUGAAUUGUGCUGUUUCAAUCCUUUACAAAUUUUAAAACUUGUGAUAAAAAUACAUAACUAUAUUUAAGUGACCAGUCCAGUAGUGCUAAGUAUAUUCACACUAUUAUACAACCAAUUUUCUAAACUUUUUCAUUUUGCAAAAUUAAAACUCUGCCAAUUAAACAAGAGCUUCCCAUUUCCCCCCUCCCAGUCCUUGGUAAUCACUAUUCUACUAUCUGUUUCUAUGAGUUUGACUACUCUAAAUACCUCGUAAAAAUGGAACCAUACAGUAUUUACCUUUUUGUUAACUGGCUUAUUUUACUAGCAUGAUGUCUUCAAGUUUCAUUCAUGUUGUAGCAUGUAUCAGAAAUUUCUGUCUUUUUAACUGAAUAAUAUUCCACUGUAUGUAUAGAUCACAUUUUGUUUAUCCAUUAAUGUGAUUUUUUAAAGAAAAACUGAGAUCAAUUUUUGAUUGAUGUGUUCCAUUAUGGACAUUACCCUGAUAUCUAUAUCUAUCUUUAUAUAUAUAAAUAUACAGUGUGUAUACAUUAUACAUAUAAUUUAUAUGUAAUAGAUCUAGACCUUCUAUAGAGUAAAAGGAAAACACACAGAAAAUUCCUGCUUCCCCCACUUCUUAGAAAGACUUUUUACAGGAUCCUAUUCUACUCCAACUUCAUAUUCACAGUAUUUGUGUGAAGGCUUUGGUCACUGGUCAAACAUAGGUAAUCCAUUUAAAAACUCUCCAAAGCAUUUUUUUUUUCUCCUAGUGAAAACACAUUCAUUCUGGGGGACGUAUACCUGGUCACAAUCAUGGUUGGAUGACAGAAAGUCCUGGUUUGGAGCCUGCUCUAACACUCACCAGCAGAGUAACCAUGACAAGCUGAUUACUCUCUCCAAGCCUUCACUUCUUCACAUGUUAUAAAGAAUAAUGUCACCUAUGGUGGACAAUUGUUCUUACAAACAUGAGGCGAAAUUGUGCAUAUACUGUGCUUACCAUAGGACCUAGCACAUAGUGCACUCAAUGAAAGGAUACUAUUAUCAUUUUUUAAAUAAAUAUAU